rnacentral:lncRNA from 1 species
GAUACCUCUUGUAUUCAGCGGUCACAGUCCAAUCUCAGUUAAGGCUGCAUUUGGAGCUUGACCAGUGUCGUCACCCGACUCUGUUGACUUCAGCCUCAGGUUCCUUGUAUCACUACAAUGGCUUCAACAGUUCCAGCCCCACAGCCAAGGUAUUCCUUAAUGAAGAAUAAACUCUGGACUGCGCCCCCCCACCCCAUUUUGAGAGAAAAUACUGGGUCUUCAGCCUUCAUUGUUCAGUUGGGCUUUCUGGGCAGCCCUGCAGGGGCCUCCUGCUGUAAACUGGCUGGGUUUCCUCAUUUCUACUCCUGUGGAAGCCUCCUCACCAGCCACCACUGCCUUUGUCUUUUCGAGGAAAAAAAAACCAACCUUUUUUUUUUACUUGAACAAAAUAAAAACUACCUAG